rnacentral:lncRNA from 1 species
CUUCUCUCUUCUUCCUUCUCUUAUCUCCCACCUUCUCUGUUUAUCUUCUUCCUUCUAUUAUCUUCAUCAUUCUCUUCUCUAUUCUCUUCUUCCUUCUAUUCUAUCCCACUUUCUCUCUUUUUGUUAUUCCUUUUCUUCUUCCUUCUCUUCUCUUUUCUCUUCUCUCUAUUUCUUUUCUUCCAGAUCAUACCCUCCACCCCUCCAAUCAAGAAACAGCAACACAGUCAAGAAAUUGAAAAAGAGAAUUUUCGAAUUUUGAAAGAGAGAAUUUUUGAAUCCCGAUUUUUGAUUCUUCAUACAUGGAAUUGAUUUUUAACCACUUGGGUUUGAUUUUUGAUUGGAAGAGGAAGCAAUCUAGGUUGAUUUUUAAUUUGAUGAUUUGUUUUUAAAGAAGUUGUUGUUGUUGUUGUUUUACGUUGAAGUUGUUGUUGUUUCCGAUUCAAAUUUCAUUUGAUUUUAUUUUUCUGGUUUGGAAUUGGGUUAAAGAAGAAUUUUGUGUUGUUGUUGUGUUGUAAUUGAUGUGUUGUUGUUGUGUUGUUGAUGCUUGAUCCAAAAAUUGAAAAUUGAUGAGAAGGGGAUGGAUUGGAACAACCAGAAAAGAAGAGAAGAAGAGAUUGUUGUGUUGUUGUUGUGUUGAUGUUGUGUUGCUGGAAAAAAGAUGAGAUUGAAAAAAGAGGGUGAGGAAGAAGAUGAAGAUGAAAAAGAAAUAAAAAAACAAACAAUUAAGUUUUUAAUAAGUCAUUAAUCAUUUUUUUGUCUCAAGUGCAAUUCCAAACAAAACCAAUGACAACCUGUUUAACUUGCUAUUGCAGGUAAAAAACCACAUUUCCCAUAGUGGAAAGGGAUUGCCCCUUCCCAUGUGAAAUGCUACCUUUAAUAUAUAGAGGUUUUUAGUGCUAAAUUAUAAAGUUGGAUUUCAAAUUGGGGAUAUUCUUCGUCGGCUUUUGUAUUGGAAUCAAUUGACAAAAUCGUCGUAAAGAUAUGAGUGGGAGAGGAAAUUUAGUUUAAAGUAGUAUAUUCUAAUAAGAGCGGUGGUCUAGAAGUUCUAAGAGUAAGGGAUUUUACUCAAAUCAUAACAAUAAAAUAUUUGUAACUGCCUCAAUGAUCCAAUCAAGUAUAAAUUUGUCUGUAGUAAUCCAACUUAAAUUUUUAAUUAAAUAGUAAUAUUU